CCUACGGGAGGCAGCAGUGGGGAAUAUUGGACAAUGGGCGAAAGCCUGAUCCAGCAAUGCCGCGUGAGUGAUGAAGGCCUUAGGGUUGUAAAGCUCUUUUACCCGGGAAGAUAAUGACUGUACCGGGAGAAUAAGCCCCGGCUAACUCCGUGCCAGCAGCCGCGGUAAUACGGAGGGGGCUAGCGUUAUUCGGAAUUACUGGGCGUAAAGCGCACGUAGGCGGCUAUUCAAGUCAGAGGUGAAAGCCCGGAGCUCAACUCCGGAACUGCCUUUGAAACUAGGUAGCUUGAAUCACGGAGAGGUAAGUGGAAUUCCGAGUGUAGAGGUGAAAUUCGUAGAUAUUCGGAAGAACACCGAGUGGCGAAGGCGGCUUACUGGACGUGUAUUGACGCUGAGGUGCGAAAGCGUGGGGAGCGAAACAGGAUUAGAUACCCUGGUAGUCCACGCCGUAAACGAUGAUAACUAGUUGUCGGGUCUCUUAGAGCUUCGGUGACGCAGCUAACGCAUUAAGUUACUCCGCCGUGGGGUAGGUACGGUCGCGAGAGUUAAACGUACGAAAGAAGUUAGACGGCGUGAGUAACGUGCCGAGGACGACGACGAGGGAGGUUAGG
rnacentral:rRNA from 1 species